GCGAAAUUAGUUAAGUGGUAUAACGCUAGCUUCCCAAGCUAGGAUCACGAGUUCGAUUCUCGUAUUUCGCACCA
rnacentral:tRNA from 1 species